AGAGUUUGAUCCUGGCUCAGGACGAACGCUGGCGGCGUGCCUAAUACAUGCAAGUCGAACGAGAGCGACCGGUGCUUGCACUGGUCAAUCUAGUGGCGAACGGGUGAGUAACACGUGGGUAACCUGCCCAUCAGAGGGGGAUAACAUUCGGAAACGGAUGCUAAAACCGCAUAGGUCUUCGAACCGCAUGGUUUGAAGAGGAAAAGAGGCGCAAGCUUCUGCUGAUGGAUGGACCCGCGGUGCAUUAGCUAGUUGGUGAGGUAACGGCUCACCAAGGCCGUGAUGCAUAGCCGACCUGAGAGGGUGAUCGGCCACAUUGGGACUGAGACACGGCCCAAACUCCUACGGGAGGCAGCAGUAGGGAAUCUUCCGCAAUGGACGCAAGUCUGACGGAGCAACGCCGCGUGAGUGAAGAAGGUUUUCGGAUCGUAAAACUCUGUUGUUAGAGAAGAACAAGUGCUAGAGUAACUGUUAGCGCCUUGACGGUAUCUAACCAGAAAGCCACGGCUAACUACGUGCCAGCAGCCGCGGUAAUACGUAGGUGGCAAGCGUUGUCCGGAUUUAUUGGGCGUAAAGCGAGCGCAGGCGGUUCCUUAAGUCUGAUGUGAAAGCCCCCGGCUCAACCGGGGAGGGUCAUUGGAAACUGGGGAACUUGAGUGCAGAAGAGGAGAGUGGAAUUCCAUGUGUAGCGGUGAAAUGCGUAGGUAUAUGGAGGAACACCAGUGGCGAAGGCGACUCUCUGGUCUGUAACUGACGCUGAGGCUCGAAAGCGUGGGUAGCAAACAGGAUUAGAUACCCUGGUAGUCCACGCCGUAAACGAUGAGUGCUAAGUGUUGGAGG
rnacentral:rRNA from 1 species